ACCUGUGCCUGGCGGGGGAGAUACUCAGAGGUGGUUCUUCCAGGGAAAGGCACUGCGGUCGUGCUCACCCCUGCAAAUUCCCCAAAUUUUAAAAUCUUGACUGCAUAAUUUCUGGUUGUGGGGCACUUUGCAGCUGUGGGGUGAGCCUCU
rnacentral:snRNA from 1 species